CUUUGGCGAGCUUACCAUGCAGUCGAACGGGGUCUUCGGACCUAGUGGCGGACGGGUGAGUAACGCGUGAGAAUCUGCCUUCAGGACGGGGACAACAGCUGGAAACGGUUGCUAAAACCCGAUGUGCCUACGGGUGAAAUAUUUAUAGCCUGAAGAGGAGCUCGCGUCUGAUUAGCUAGUUGGUUGGGUAAUGGCUGACCAAGGCGACGAUCAGUAACUGGUCUGAGAGGAUGACCAGUCACACUGGGACUGAGACACGGCCCAGACUCCUACGGGAGGCAGCAGUGGGGAAUUUUCCGCAAUGGGCGCAAGCCUGACGGAGCAAUACCGCGUGAGGGAGGAAGGCUCUUGGGUCGUAAACCUCUUUUAUCAGGGAAGAACAAAAUGACGGUACCUGAGGAAUAAGCAUCGGCUAACUCUGUGCCAGCAGCCGCGGUAAUACAGAGGAUGCAAGCGUUAUCCGGAAUGAUUGGGCGUAAAGCGUCCGUAGGUGGUUUGUCAAGUCUGUGGUUAAAGCGUGGAGCUCAACUCCAUAAGGGCCAUGGAAACUGACAGACUAGAGUUAAGUAGGGGUAGAGGGAAUUCCCAGUGUAGCGGUGAAAUGCGUAGAGAUUGGGAAGAACACCGGUGGCGAAAGCGCUCUACUGGACUUGGACUGACACUGAGGGACGAAAGCUAGGGGAGCGAAAGGGAUUAGAUACCCCUGUAGUCCUAGCCGUAAACGAUGGAUACUAGGUGUUGCCCGUAUCGACCCGGGCAGUGCCGUAGCUAACGCGUUAAGUAUCCCGCCUGGGGAGUACGCACGCAAGUGUGAAACUCAAAGGAAUUGACGG
rnacentral:rRNA from 1 species